rnacentral:rRNA from 1 species
AUUUUCCCUAUCCUGGACACAGGGUAGGUAGUCGUCAUCAUAUAACUAUACAGACCGCAUGUCUGUGAUAUGUGAUAAUGAUGGCAGACCCAUACCCGUCACCAGAGUAGCAAUUGGAGGGCAAGUCUGGUGCUAGCUGCAGCGGGAACCCGCUCCCCAGGUCCCCAUAAAAAAAUGUUGNNGNUNNNNNGCUCGUAGUUGUAUUUUUGCGUUGACGGUUUGACCAUUUGGUUGGUUAUUUCGUUUUCGCUUUUGGGAAUUUCCCUUUUUACUUUGAGAAAAUUAGAGUGUUUCAAGCAGACUUUUGUCUUGAAUACUUCAGCAUGGAAUAAUAGAGUAGGACUUUGGUUCUAUUUUGUUGGUUAUUGAACCUUAGUAAUGGUUAAUAGGAACGGUUGGGGGCAUUCGUAUUUAAA